rnacentral:tRNA from 1 species
GAGCUUGUAACUCAGUGGAACAGAGUGCGCGUUUCCGAAUCGCGAUGUCGAAGGUUCGAUUCCUUCCUUGCUCA